rnacentral:rRNA from 2 species
CGCCUGUUUAACAAAAACAUGGCCUUUUGAAUUUAAUUUAAGGUCUGACCUGCCCAGUGAUAAUUUUAACGGCCGCGGUAUACUGACCGUGCAAAGGUAGCAUAAUCAUUAGUCUUUUAAUAGAGGGCUGGAAUGAAAGGUUUCACGAGGAACUAGCUGUCUCAUUUUAUUUGUUUUAAAAUUUAAUUUUUUAGUCAAAAAGCUAAAAUGCAAUUGGUAGACGAGAAGACCCUAUAGAUCUUUAUAUAAUUUUAAAUACUUAUUUAUAUAUUAAUAUUUUUAUUCAAAAUUGUAUUUUGUUGGGGUGACAAAAAUAUAUAAUUAACUUUUUUAUUUACAUAACAUUGAUAUAUGAAUAUUAGAUCCAUUAUUAGUGAUUGGUAGAUUAAGUUACCUUAGGGAUAACAGCG